AGAGUUUGAUCCUGGCUCAGGAUGAACGCUAGCUACAGGCUUAACACAUGCAAGUCGAGGGGCAUCAGGAAGAAAGCUUGCUUUCUUUGCUGGCGACCGGCGCACGGGUGAGUAACACGUAUCCAACCUGCCCUUUACUCGGGGAUAGCCUUUCGAAAGAAAGAUUAAUACCCGAUGGGAUAAUUAUUCCGCAUGGUUUGAUUAUUAAAGGAUUCCGGUAAAGGAUGGGGAUGCGUUCCAUUAGGUUGUUGGUGAGGUAACGGCCCACCAAGCCUUCGAUGGAUAGGGGUUCUGAGAGGAAGGUCCCCCACAUUGGAACUGAGACACGGUCCAAACUCCUACGGGAGGCAGCAGUGAGGAAUAUUGGUCAAUGGGCGCUAGCCUGAACCAGCCAAGUAGCGUGAAGGAUGAAGGCUCUAUGGGUCGUAAACUUCUUUUAUAUAAGAAUAAAGUGCAGUAUGUAUACUGUUUUGUAUGUAUUAUAUGAAUAAGGAUCGGCUAACUCCGUGCCAGCAGCCGCGGUAAUACGGAGGAUCCGAGCGUUAUCCGGAUUUAUUGGGUUUAAAGGGAGCGUAGGUGGACUGGUAAGUCAGUUGUGAAAGUUUGCGGCUCAACCGUAAAAUUGCAGUUGAUACUGUCAGUCUUGAGUACAGUAGAGGUGGGCGGAAUUCGUGGUGUAGCGGUGAAAUGCUUAGAUAUCACGAAGAACUCCGAUUGCGAAGGCAGCUCACUGGACUGCAACUGACACUGAUGCUCGAAAGUGUGGGUAUCAAACAGGAUUAGAUACCCUGGUAGUCCACACAGUAAACGAUGAAUACUCGCUGUUUGCGAUAUACAGUAAGCGGCCAAGCGAAAGCAUUAAGUAUUCCACCUGGGGAGUACGCCGGCAACGGUGAAACUCAAAGGAAUUGACGGGGG
rnacentral:rRNA from 1 species